rnacentral:lncRNA from 1 species
GAAAGAACACAGUGAUAAGAAGCAAAUAGGCUAUGUAAUGAUGGAAUAGAAGGUGAAUAGGGGGUUAUUCUUUUGAACAGAAUCAAGGGGAUGGUGGAGUACCUUUCUCGCGCUCAUGGUCCACAUUUCCUAUACUUUUCUAUUCUUCGGUUACAUUGUUAUAAAAGUGUAUGCAAUAGUAUGUUAUUAUUGUUAAUAAAUAAGAAGGAAUGAAAAGAGAGGACGAUUAGAUUUUUGAAAGAAAACGGUGAGGGAAAGAGAGGAAAAGUCAGCAUAUAUGGUGUAUAAGAGAGUAUAGAGGAAAGCAAAAAAAAAAACUAAGGUGGUGGAAAUAUAAAGCUCAUUAAGAGGCAAUUUCUCAUUCUGAGUGCAUGAGUCUCAUGAUAGAAAUGUAGAUUCUUUGUAUACCCAGGACCCCCCACCUCUUGGUGUUCCAUAUUUCAUUCAACUCACCCCACCACCUCAAAAACACUUAAACCUAACUCCAAAUACAGUAAUCCUCUCUUUUACAUCGUCUCCCCUCUAAUUCACUUUUUGCUUUAAAUGUUGCUCAUCCUUUGUAGCAGAGGGAGUGACCCUUAGGUAUAUAACCUAAUUCGAGUCUGACCAUGCCAAACUAAGAAAGAAAACAACAAUCUCUUCCUCUUUCAUCCUAUUACACACGUAGAAAACAUUAAAAGAGAGAAGAGAAAGUUGGUGCACCAUGUUAUAUCUCUCCCUCAUGGCUCUGGAAACUUCUGCAGCAACAAACCCAGACAAGGUUCACUCCAAUUCGCUCACUGAAGACUCUUAAUGCAAGUCUUGUGAUGCUUGCUACAUGUUCCCAAAAAGGAAUAUGAUAAGAAACCCAUUUCUCUUCUUCCUUUAAAUCUUUUUAGCUUUUCACAGUGCUGAUAUUUGACAAUGAAUGAUUAUAAUAAUGUGAUGAUUGGAAUUGUAAGUAUCAUAUUAUAUUUCUAUUCCAAAUUGAAGGAAAGGUUCAUUGUUGUCAUUUCAUACCAAC